AAACAAUUUUGUGUAUCAAAAACUUCAUUACUGAAAGUGUAAUAAUCGUAAAGGAUCGGUGAUAAAUUAAUUGGUUCUUCGCUGUAGCGAAAAUCAUUAUAAAUCAGGAGAUAGGUGUGUUUCUCUAUAUUCAGAGCUUUGCUGACUAUUGCCAUGGUUACGGUAUGAGGUAAUCCUUGCAGUUCGGCGCCGAGAUACACCAGUCAGAGGCGGUGGUGUGAAGUCGAAGCUGCUGCUGGUAUAGCUCGCCUAGCCGACUGUCCUAGGCGAUGCACAAUCGUGUAAGAGCUGCAGCCUUAUCGAUUGGUUUGACCCAGUGACUUCCUCACACACCGACCCGAUGUACGACGUACUACAGUCGAUUCCUUUGUUCGACGGGAGUUCAGCAAAGCUCGUUUCUCAACGUUGAUGUGGGCCCGUAAAUUUGUCAUCUCGCCUGUGAGCAGGCUACUAAUUGUAUUGUCCACGUUAUCCCGGCGCAGAUAUGGAGAACCUGUGACUCGCGUGUUGGGUAACACGCGAGGGCUCUAUAAAUUACACACAUGCAGCGUAAUUUCAUGCGAACAAAAUGUAUUUUAACAUAUCCUGCAUAAAUAAUAAACAUAUAAAAUAAAUUUAUUGGAAUAUGA